AUUCUAAUUAAUAAGGAAUACCCAAUAUUCAAAAUCUCUCUUCCUUGAUUAAUUUUCUGAUUUCGUUCCAAUUUCCCACUUGGGGGGAAGGCAAAACUCCAAGGCUUCUCCUCUCUUUUGCUUCGUCUUACAGGCUGGUUGAAGGUAGUUUCAAUUGCCCAAGGCGAAUUGUCCUGGAUGAGAGGCUAAGCUGCAAUGAAAAUUCAUCUGCAGCAUUAAUUGGUACACUGCUCCAUCAGAUUUUGCUUCUUUAGGCUCAACAUACGAAGGAGAUGCCUACAGUAAUUUGAGUGAGAUCAGCUAUGAAUCAUGUUAAGGAUACAAAUAGAACAUUAAUUGAAGCCAUCCCCAAAUUAUUGAAUUGGGUGGUGAACCUCUUCAAAUAUCCACUACAGGUACCAAAGUCAUAUUGAUUCGUGUCUUGUAUACUAUCUCCAGUCAGAUCAGACAAAGGUAAUGAAGAGAUAUUUGUAUAUUUGCAGGGAGAGAUGAGGAUUGCAUAAUUGUGAGGUUUGUAAGGUCUAGUGAAAAUCCAAGAAACUGUAGUGUUCCUCACUUCUUGGAGACUGGCAUAGGAUUAACGUUGCUCUUAUAAGAGCCAAGAGAAAAAGUUGAUAAUGGUUGGAUCAUGUAGGACUCUAUCAAAGGUUCCGCUGCUGAAGCUUCCAAUCGAGAAAGUUGAAGAGCAAUCGAGCAUUGUUUGUGCUCCCAAGAAGGGUAGCUCAACAGGUGUUCACAGUCACAAUUAAGAACUUGAGAUGAUAGUAUAAUUAGGAGAGCAUUUUGUAUUCAAGUGUAGAUAUAAAAUUUUGGUGAUUAUUUGUGCAACCAAAUAAUGUUGAGAUUGUGCUAUUGUAUAGGUGAACAGUGAAUUUAUAACAGUUUCAGAAAUGUAACAAAAAUGUUGUUUCUUUU